CCCAGGAGUCCCCAUUCUGUGAUCAGGACAGAAUACAGACAUCUCACCAUGGACUUUGUGCUUGGCUGGGUUUUCCUUGUUGCUGUUCUAAAAGGUGUCCAGUGUGAGGUGCAGCUGGUGGAGUCUGGGGGAGGCCUGGCGAAGCCUGGGGGCUCCCUGCGACUCUCCUGUGCAGCCUCUGGAUUUGACUUCAGUAGUUAUGAAAUGAACUGGGUCCGCCGGGCUCCAGAGAAGGGCCUGGAGUGGGUCUCAUAUAUUGGUAGUGGUGGAAGCACAAGCUAUGCAGACUCCGUGAAGGGCCAAUUCACCAUCUCCAGAGACAAUGCCAGGAACACGCUCUCUCUGCAGAUGAACAACCUGAGAGUUGAGGACACGGCCAUGUAUUUCUGUGCGAGAGACACAGUGAGGAGACGUCAGUGUGAGCCUAGACACAAACCUCCCUGCAGAAAGGGAUCAGCACCACCAGGGGGUGCACACUCUACACAAUUCUGGGCUACUACCUCAAGAUACAACCCAAAGCACACGUAG